rnacentral:lncRNA from 1 species
GAUUUAAACCCCUUUGAAAUGGAUAAACAUGUGUUAAAUGAUAUGAAUGCAAAUGAUGUGAUGAUGUGAAUGCAAUGCAAUGGCAUGUCAAUCAGGAUUGCUGUAUCUGCUUGAACAUCUGUCGGGUUACACUGUCUGAAGAGAAAACCACUGAGGAAUAUAAUACAAGAUCAAAGCUCUGCUCCAGAAAACCGGGUUGGUUGGAGGUUAAGGUUUCCUG